GACUACGGCACGGGCGAGCGCGAGAUGGCGUGGAUCGUCGACACCUACGCCGCGCUCAGUCCCGGUCAACUCGACGCACUCGGCUGUGUGACGGGCAAGCCGGUGACACAAGGCGGCGUCCGCGGUCGUCGCGAAGCCACAGGACGCGGGUUGUUCUUCGCGCUGCGUGAGGC
rnacentral:misc_RNA from 1 species